rnacentral:tRNA from 1 species
GCCAGAGUGGCGGAAUGGCAGACGCGCUGGAUUCAAAAUCCUGUGUCCGCAAGGGCGUGUGGGUUCGACUCCCACCUCUGGUA